GGAAGUUUGGAAUUUCGGGGCACUACUGUAACUGAUACAAGGAGGUUGGAUAUUGUGGACAGAAUGUGGGCAUAUUAGCUUGUUGCUAUGGAGGCAAAAUUAAACAACAGAUAUUGCUUUCCGAGCUUUUGCAGAGAAAGAUCAAGACCAUCUGCAAAUGACACAAGUACACAACGUCCAAGCACAGUGACAUAAUAAUUUAAGGAAGAUAUGUACACAGAGAAGGAGAUAUGUACACCACCAUGUGUUUUCAGUCAAGUAAUACUAGCCAACACGUGGAUCUCAUCCAGCACAGGUCAUGUAGGGUAACAAAUCUGAUUGCCCUGAUGGCCAAUUUGGAUGACCUUAUUGCAAUCUGGUGGCUUAUUGAGAUGGUUUGUGACAACAUUGGUGGGUUUUUCUUUCUGGAAGCAUGACAAAAACUCACAGGUAUGUCAUAACCUGAUGCAAACCUGACGUUAACCUCAAGAACCAGGUGAAACAUGCCACAAAACCCAUGGCAACUAAUGCCAUGAAUAAGGUGCAACAUGACAUAAACCUGGUGGCAAAAGCAAGAACCAGGCGCAGAAUGACAUAAACCUCAUGGAAUUGUCAAGAACCGGAAGUAAACCUACAACUGCCAGUUAUUUGAUAUUAAUUGUGCACCAAGCUUGUUGAAAGAAAGGACACCUGGAAAUGGGAACUCUGAAGUUCAUGGUAAUAAACACUUCAAACAGAUUGAUAAAAAAUUGACCAAGCUAAUCAAAGAUUAGCCAAAGGAAGGCUCAAUGGCUUUAAAAUACCUGUUGCCAAAUAAUACAUACUUUACAGGGUAUGUCUGCUAUGUAAAGAUUUAUCAAAAGCACUGGACACAGGAAGGCUUUGCCUUUGUCAAGUUGCCAAUGACCAAAUAACAUUUCCUUUGACACUGUGUAUACAGAAAGAAGUGGAAUUUUGUGCCUGUAUUGGUCACCCCCGGCUUAGCAGCUGGCUCUUCUGUUGACAUACGGGUGUUUUAUUUCUAGACAGCGUUUACACCAUUGAAAUUGGUAUGACUUAAUAUAUCCUUGAUUGUUGUGUUCCAGACGGACAUCCAAGGAUUCAGUGUUUUAAUGUUUUAAUGUUUUGAAGCAAUAUGAGAAUAGUGACAGCAAACAAACGGAAUUCUUGUAUCAGUAGAUGACAGUUACCACAACUUUUGCGAUGUCAUUUGUAUUGUAUUGUGUUGUGUUGUAUUGUAUUGUAUUGUAUUUUAAAUCAUGUCGUAGUUUAUUGUUUUAGGUACAUUUCUUAUUUCACGAAAAAGUAUAGUAAAUUCUAUAUUAUUCUGUUAUAUUACACUAAGUUAUAUAAGUGAUGAAACGUUAUUAAUCAUUUAUGAUGUAAAAUCGCCUUGCGA